CAGCCGCCGCGGUAAUACGAGGGGGGCAAGCGUUGUUCGGAAUUAUUGGGCGUAAAGGGCGCGUAGGCGGUUUGACAAGUCUGAUGUGAAAUCUCUGGGCUCAACCCAGGGUCUGCAUCGGAAACUGUCGAGCUUGAGUAUGGGAGAGGUGAGUGGAAUUUCCGGUGUAGCGGUGAAAUGCGUAGAUAUCGGAAGGAACACCUGUGGCGAAAGCGGCUCACUGGACCAUUACUGACGCUGAGGCGCGAAAGCUAGGGGAGCAAACAGGAUUAGAUACCCCUGUAGUCCCUGUCUCUUAUAC
rnacentral:rRNA from 1 species